rnacentral:rRNA from 1 species
CCUACGGGGUGCAGCAGUGAGGAAUAUUGGUCAAUGGGCGCGAGCCUGAACCAGCCAAGUCGCGUGAGGGAAGACGGUCCUAUGGAUUGUAAACCUCUUUUGUCGGGGAGCAAAAGACGCCACGCGUGGCGUUCCGAGAGUACCCGAAGAAAAAGCAUCGGCCAACUCCGUGCCAGCAGCCGCGGGAAUAAGGAGGAUGCGAGCGUUAUCCGGAUUUAUUGGGUUUAAAGGGUGCGCAGGAGGAAGAUCAAGUCAGCGGUAAAAUUGAGAGGUUCAACCUCUUGGAGCCGUUGAAACUGGUUUUCGUGAGUGAGUGAGAAGUAUGCGGAAUGCGUGGUGUAGCGGUGAAAGGCAUAGAUAUCAGGAGGAACACCGGUGGCGAAGGCGGCUUACUGGACCAUAACUGACGUUGAGGCUCGAAAGCGUGGGGAGCGAACAGGAUUAGAUACCCCUGUAGUC